rnacentral:rRNA from 1 species
AUUGAACGCUGGCGGCAGGCCUAACACAUGCAAGUCGAGCGGAUGAAGGGAGCUUGCUCCUGGAUUCAGCGGCGGACGGGUGAGUAAUGCCUAGGUAUCUGCCUGGUAGUGGGGGAUAACGUCCGGAAACGGGCGCUAAUACCGCAUACGUCCUGAGGGAGAAAGUGGGGGAUCUUCGGACCUCACGCUAUCAGAUGAGCCUAGGUCGGAUUAGCUAGUUGGUGGGGUAAAGGCCUACCAAGGCGACGAUCCGUAACUGGUCUGAGAGGAUGAUCAGUCACACUGGAACUGAGACACGGUCCAGACUCCUACGGGGGGCAGCAGUGGGGAAUAUUGGACAAAGGGCGAAAGCCUGAUCCAGCCAUGCCGCGUGUGUGAAGAAGGUCUUCGGAUUGUAAAGCACUUUAAGUUGGGAGGAAGGGCAGUAAGUUAAUACCUUGCUGUUUUGACGUUACCAACAGAAUAAGCACCGGCUAACUUCGUG